CGUUAGCUCAAUGGUUAGAGCAGGGGACUCAUAAUCCCUUGGUUACAGGUUCGAAUCCUGUACGGC
rnacentral:tRNA from 1 species